rnacentral:rRNA from 1 species
AGUGAACGCUGGCGGUAGGCCUAACACAUGCAAGUCGAACGGCAGCACAGUAAGAGCUUGCUCUUACGGGUGGCGAGUGGCGGACGGGUGAGGAAUACAUCGGAAUCUACUUUUUCGUGGGGGAUAACGUAGGGAAACUUACGCUAAUACCGCAUACGACCUACGGGUGAAAGCAGGGGAUCUUCGGACCUUGCGCGAUUGAAUGAGCCGAUGUCGGAUUAGCUAGUUGGCGGGGUAAAGGCCCACCAAGGCGACGAUCCGUAGCUGGUCUGAGAGGAUGAUCAGCCACACUGGAACUGAGACACGGUCCAGACUCCUACGGGAGGAAGCAGUGGGGAAUAUUGGACAAUGGGCGCAAGCCUGAUCCAGCCAUACCGCGUGGGUGAAGAAGGCCUUCGGGUUGUAAAGCCCUUUUGUUGGGAAAGAAAAGCAGCAGGUUAAUACCACGCUGUUCUGACGGUACCCAAAGAAUAAGCACCGGCUAACUUCGUG